rnacentral:tRNA from 1 species
CGGGAUGUGGCUCAGCUUGGUAGAGCGCCUGGUUCGGGACCAGGAGGUCGCAGGUUCAAAUCCUGUCAUCCCGACCA